UGGCAGUGUACUGUUAGUUAGCUG
rnacentral:miRNA from 1 species